rnacentral:rRNA from 1 species
UACGUAGGGGGCAAGCGUUGUCCGGAAUCAUUGGGCGUAAAGAGCGUGUAGGCGGUUCAGUAAGUCUGCUGUGAAAGUCCAGGGCUCAACCCUGGGAUGCCGGUGGAUACUGCUGGGCUAGAGUACGGAAGAGGCGAGUGGAAUUCCCGGUGUAGCGGUGGAAUGCGCAGAUAUCGGGAGGAACACCUAUUGCGAAGGCAGCUCGCUGGGACGUUACUGACGCUGAGACGCGAAAGCGUGGGGAGCAAACAGG